GACGAACGCUGGCGGCGUGCUUAACACAUGCAAGUCGAACGAAGUGGCGAACGGGUGCGUAACGCGUAAUCAACCUGCCCUUCAGAGGGGGACAACCGUUGGAAACGACUGCUACUACCGCAUACUGACGGCGGGGAUUGCGUCUGAGUAGCUAGUUGGAGGGGUAACGGCCCACCAAGGCGAUGAUCAGUAGCCGGUAUGAGAGGAGGAACGGACAACUGGGGACUGAGACACGGCCAAGACGCCGACGGGAGGCAGCAGUGGGGAAUCUUCCGCAAUGGACGAAAGUCUGACGGAGCAACGCCGCGGGAGUGAUGACGGCCUUCGGGUUGUAAAGCUCUGUUAAUCGGGACGCGGUACCGGAAUAGAAAGCCACGGCUAACUACGUGCCAGCAGCCGCGGUAAUUC
rnacentral:rRNA from 1 species